rnacentral:rRNA from 1 species
UACGAAGGGUGCAAGCGUUAAUCGGAAUUACUGGGCGUAAAGUGUGCGCAGGUGGCUUCGCAAGUCGAGUGUGAAAUCCCCGGGCUUAACCUGGGAAUUGCGCUCGAAACUACGGAGCUGGAGUAUGGCAGAGGGAGGUGGAAUUCCACGUGUAGCGGUGAAAUGCGUAGAGAUGUGGAGGAACACCAAUGGCGAAGGCAGCCUCCUGGGCCAAUACUGACACUCAUGCACGAAAGCGUGGGGAGCAAACAGG